rnacentral:rRNA from 1 species
UGGGGAAUAUUGGACAAUGGGCGCAAGCCUGACCCAGCCAUGCCGCGUGAGUGAUGAAGGCCCUAGGGUUGUAAAGCUCUUUCACCGGUGAAGAUAAUGACGGUAACCGGAGAAGAAGCCCCGGCUAACUUCGUGCCAGCAGCCGCGGUAAUACGAAGGGGGCUAGCGUUGUUCGGAUUUACUGGGCGUAAAGCGCACGUAGGCGGACUAUUAAGUCAGGGGGGAAAUCCCGGGGCUCAACCCCGGAACUGCCUUUGGUACUGGUAGUGUUGGAUUAGAGAGAGGGGAGUGGAAUUCCGAGUGUAGAGGUGAAAUUCGUAGAUAAUCGGAGGAAAACCAGUGGCGGAGGCGGCUCACUGGCGCGAUACUGACGCUGAGGUGCGAAAGCGUGGGGAGCAAACAGG